rnacentral:rRNA from 1 species
GAUGAACGCUAGCGAUAGGCUUAACACAUGCAAGUCGAGGGGCAUCACGAAUUAGCAAUAGUUUGGUGGCGACCGGCGCACGGGUGCGUAACACGUAUACAACCUACCUUCAAUUGGGGAAUAACCUGGAGAAAUUCGGACUAAUAUCCCAUAGCAAACGGAAGAGGCAUCUUUUUGUUUAAAGAUUUAUUGAUUGGAGAUGGGUAUGCGUAGGAUUAGCUAGUUGGUAAGGUAACGGCUUACCAAGGCGACGAUCCUUAGGGGUUCUGAGAGGAAGGUCCCCACACUGGUACUGAGACACGGACCAGACUCCUACGGGAGGCAGCAGUGAGGAAUAUUGGUCAAUGGUCGAGAGACUGAACCAGCCAAGUCGCGUGAAGGAAGACGGCUCUAUGAGUUGUAAACUUCUUUUGUACAGGAGUAAAGUGAGACACGCGUGUUUUAUUGCAAGUACUGUACGAAUAAGCAUCGGCUAACUCCGUGCCAGCAGCCGCGGUAA